UACGUAGGGUGCGAGCGUUGCCCGGAUUUAUUGGGCGUAAAGGGCGCGUAGGCGGCCACGCACGUCCGUUGUGAAAUCGCUCGGCUCAACUGGGCGGGGUCAGCGGAUACGGAGUGGCUGGAGCAAGGCUAGGGGCAAUGGAAUUCCCGGUGUAGUGGUGGAAUGCGUAGAUAUCGGGAGGAACACCAGUGGCGAAGGCGGUUGCCUGGAGCUUUGCUGACGCUGAUGCGCGAAAGCGUGGGGAGCGAUCCGG
rnacentral:rRNA from 1 species